UCUUAUUCAAUAUUCUCUCAUUCUGUUAUUAUGAGUUAUAAGUGUUUUGUAUUGGAAAAUUGUUUGGAGUAAUGAAAAUUAUCAAGAAUAGAUUGUAAGUACUAUUGCAGAGGAGUUGUGGAGGAGGGUUUGGAGCUUUAUCAGAAAAAGAAUUUGAUGCAGUGGUAGGAGAUAUAACGAUCAUGGCUAAGAGGUCCUUGUAUGUGGACUUCACGUUGCCCUUCACCAAAACUUGGAUUUUCUUGAAGCCCUUGACAUGGGAACUCUGGCUCACAAUUGGUUGCUUCUUUGUGUUUACUGGCUUUGUGGUUUGGCUUCUUAUACACCAAGUCAAUUAAGAAUUUAGAGGUUCUCUAUCACAUCAAGUCAGCGCUAUCUUUUGGUUUUCCGUCUCAACAUUGGUCUUUGAACAAAGGGAGAGAGUCCAGAGCUACAUGGCUAGGUAUGUGGUCAUCAUAUGGAAUUUUGUGGUUGAAAGGUAUCAGAAUAUAUUGAGAAUGAAGACUACGACACGGUUCAGGAUGAUGUUGAGGGCAUUGAAGCCACAAGCUUACCCCAUCAUGAAGUAUAGGCCCAAUUAUAUUUUGUUUUGUUGAUGUAUAUGUAAAGAACCAAUUCAACCCAAAAGCUUAAGCUGUUAGAUGAGGCUGUAUUAAUUGUUUUAUAUAUCUCAACACGCCCCCUCACACGAGAGCAUUCCACAAGAGAAAGUGGGGGCGGUGAGGAUCGAACCCGUGAUCUUGUGGUCACUCAAGCUCUGAUACCAUGUAAAGAACCAAUUUAACCUAAAAGCUUAAGCUGUUGGG